rnacentral:lncRNA from 1 species
UCGGGGACCCCAUGUAAUGAUCAAUUUUAAGUAUCCCAAACAACAUAAACCCUUCUUUUCUACAUAUACAAGAUCUCCACAUUCAAUUAAAUCAAAAUAAAUUGAUAAAAAAAAUUAAAUCAAAAUAAAAACACAACAUAAACUAUUCUUAAAAUUUAGAUCCAAAAAGCACCCAUAAUUGACAAAAUAGCCAAGUUUUAACUCCAUAUUCAAGAUCUUAAAAACAAAAGCUAGAUCUCGCGAUGGUUGUGCUGAACCAAAAAGGGAGAAGUGAAAAAGGAACAACGAGAACGGGGGAGACAAAGGAAAUGGGUUUGGCAGUGAAGUUGAAUUUGGGGCUCAUGUCGCACUUGAGAUGUUUGGAGGCAGUGCAAGAAGAGGGUUAGGAUUACGCUUAUGCAAAUACAUGGGUCUGAUUCCUUCUUCUCCGUCAGAUUUGCGACUAAGGUUCACUAGCUUUGCAUCUUCCUCUUCAACGACUUUACGAUCCGCCCAGAGAAUGCACUUGCCCUUCAUGUUUUGCGGCGCCCUCACAGUUGCAUGCCCCUCUGCUACAGUCACCCUUGCUUGGCCAGGGCCCGACGCCGGCAGCCCGCUAUAGUUGACGCCGAACAUGCUCACCAACAACCAUAUCUAUAAUUUUAUUGUUGGGACAAGGGGAGAUAGAUAUUAAUUUAUUUUAUAAUAUGUGUUAUAAUAAUUCACUUAUUUAUUUUUCUAUUACACAUAUUAUUCAUUUUUUUUUCUUGCUUGAAUUAAUUCUAGUAAUGUUUAGACUGCCCGAAAGUGUAAUUUAAAUUUUGAAAUUAAU